UUUGGAUUUUAACUUAAACUUAAUCUUUAAAAUGACGCAGCGAAUUUAGGACAAUAAUUGGUAAAUGUAUAGUUUAGGUCCCCCAACUAAGGAGGCCUCAAAAUUGAAUUUUUUUUUUACAUCGUCUUAUUUUUACGCGUAGAUUACAAAUCCGUGAGCGGAAAGUGAAUUUUUUUAAUAUUUCUAUUUUUUUUUUAUUUUUUCAAAAAAAAAAAAGUUUUAUUUUUUUUAUUAAUAUGCAUUAACAAUUGUGAUACAUUUAAAUUAAUUGUUUUAUUUUUUUCUUUGAAAAAAUCACAUAUUGUUCAAGUUUUUUAGUGUAUUUACUGUUCUUCAUAAACGUUUCUGGAAAUUUAUAUUAAAAUGUCAAUGUUAGUGCACUUUUAUUGUCAUCGAAGUUGAGAGCAGCGAAAAGGAGUUUGACACGAUUGAAUUAUGAACACCCCGGUUUUGGACCGACCAGGAUUAUUCCGCCAGUGCGGAAAGGAGUUCAACGAUCUCCGAUAUUCGUCCAUACCAUCAGAUCGCGGCGCAAAGGAAAUUGUAAAUGUUACAUGUCUUCAGUAUAUUUUUUUCAUAAGAAAAUGUUUAACACGUUGGACUGGUUAUUACAGCUAAGUGAUCUGAAUUCUACAGAAUUUUGCCGCUACAACAACAACAACUAAGUGACUUGAAUAUGUGAUAUGUGCAAAGUGUGUUAAAUAAAUUUUGAAAAAUAUACAUAAAUUAUUUUAAAAAAAUUCACUUUCCGCUCCGUAAAAAUGAGACGAUUUAAAAAAAAAAUUCAUUUUUGAGGCCACCUUAGUUGGGGGACCGAAACUAUACAUUUACCCAAUAAUUAACUGUUUUUGGUGCUUUUAAACAAUGUGUGCUUAGCUAUGAAUUUACAAAAUCUACAAUUUCGCAUCUACUAAUCAUUCCUAUCACUUAAUCUAGUCGCAAAUUUGGUAAUAACACAUGGGGAGCAAAGUCACUGAUUAUGUCAGACAGUAGAUGAUAGAUAUAAACUCGGAUAUGUCUACACUUAUUCAUAUAUUAUCUCAAUUUAGAAACAACACCAAUAAACAAAAACUACUUUAAGAUGUUUAACAAAAUAUAAACAUUUGUCUGUAAAGAUGAGCGGUUUUAACUUUUGUGGUUAAAGUUUUUUGAGAUCUACAAAUUUUAGUGCGUCUGAAAGCUGGCAUACCGACAAAUGUUCCAUCUCUAAAAGUAUACAGGUUAGAUGGUAUACGCUGCAAAAAUUUUCUUUAGGCUAAGCUGCAUACGUACAUAUGUAUAUACCCCAGCAUAUAAAGGUUUUAUUUGUGUACAUAUUUCUCUACUAUUGUACAUGAGCAAGUAUUUAUAUUUAAAAAUACGAAUGUACACAUGAAUGUACUUAUUUAUAUGUACAUAUAUAGAAAUAUUUAGAUAGAUGUAAAUAUAAGUAUGCUAAAUUUUAAUGAGCUAUAUGGAUGGCUGCUGCAGUCAUACUGGCUUUACCUACAUACCCAUACUUACUAUACGUUUAGAUGAAUAUCUUUGCAUAGUAGCAAACAGAUAGAUGCACAUAUGGGACACACAUAUUCGCGCACAACCAUAUACAGAUGGCAAAACGAAACGUUUAUUCCACUGUACGACGUCAAACGCGAAGUGGUAUCGCCGUCCCGAGAAUCAAAACAAAACUCUGGAUUAGAUUAAUGAUGUUUUCUCCAUUUACCGCACUGAAAACUUUAUACACCAACCCCCGUAGUAAUCAACGAAGCUUCCGACCGCGAAGUGUGCCUUUAUAAUUAAAAUGGAAAUUGCAAGGAACGACCGACUAGAAAACAGAAUUGCCGUACCGAAAAAAUAUACAAAUCUUAAAAUAAUGUAAUACAUAAAAAUAAAUAUCGUAAAACAUCAAA